ACAUCAAGUUGAAACACCGAUUCCUGUAUGAUCACCAAAGUUAAGCAACAUUGCGCCUGGUUAGUACCUAGGUGGGUGACCGUUUGGAAAUACCACGU